rnacentral:rRNA from 1 species
AUUGAACGCUGGCGGCAUGCCUUACACAUGCAAGUCGAACGGUAACGCGGGGCAACCUGGCGACGAGUGGCGAACGGGUGAGUAAUAUAUCGGAACGUGCCCAGCAGUGGGGGAUAGCCCGGCGAAAGCCGGAUUAAUACCGCAUGAGACCUGAGGGUGAAAGCGGGGGAGCGCAAGACCUCGCGCUAUUGGAGCGGCCGAUAUCAGAUUAGCUAGUUGGUGGGGUAAAGGCCUACCAAGGCAACGAUCGGGAGUGGGGCUGAGAGGAAGACCAGCGACACUGGGACAGAGACACGGACCAGACUCCUACGGGAGGCAGAAGUGGGGAAUUUUGGACAAUGGGCGCAGGCCGAAUCCAGCAAUGCCGCGUGCAGGAAGAAGGCCUUCGGGUUGUAAACUGCUUUUGUCAGGGAAGAAAUCUUCUGGGUUAAUACCUCGGGAGGAUGACGGUACCUGAAGAAUAAGCACCGGCUAACUACGUGCCAGCAGCCGCGGUAAAAC